UUCCGGUUGAUCCCGCCGGACCUGACUGCUAUCGGAUUGAUACUAAGCCAUGCGAGUCAUUGUAGUAAUACAAGGCAGACGGCUCAGUAACGCGUAGUCAACCUACCCUAUGGACGGGGAUAACCUCGGGAAACUGAGAAUAAUACCCGAUAGAACAUUAUUCCUGGAAUGGUUUAUGUUUCAAAUAAUUUAUUGCCGUAGGAUGGGACUGCGGCCUAUCAGUUUGUUGGUGAGGUAAUGGCCCACCAAGACUAUUACAGGUACGGGCUCUGAGAGGAGUAGCCCGGAGAUGGGUACUGAGACACGGACCCAGGCCCUAUGGGGCGCAGCAGGCGAGAAAACUUUGCAAUGUGCGAAAGCACGACAAGGUUAAUCCGAGUGGUUUCUGCUAAAGGAACCUUUUGUCAGUCCUAGAAACACUGGUGAAUAAGGGGUGGGCAAGUUCUGGUGUCAGCCGCCGCGGUAAAACCAGCACCUCAAGUGGUCAGGAUGAUUAUUGGGCCUAAAGCAUCCGUAGCCUGCUUUGUUAGUUUUCGGUUAAAUCCAUAUGCUCAACGUAUGGGCUGCCGGAAAUACUGCAAAGCUAGGGAGUGGGAGAGGUAGACGGUACUCAGUAGGAAGGGGUAAAAUCCUUUGAUCUAUUGAUGACCACCUGUGGCGAAGGCGGUCUACCAGAACACGUCCGACGGUGAGGGAUGAAAGCUGGGGGAGCAAACCGGAUUAGAUACCCGGGUAGUCCCAGCUGUAAACUAUGCAAACUCGGUGAUGCAUUGGCUUGAUGCCAAUGCAGUGCCGCAGGAAGCCGUUAAGUUUGCCGCCUGGGAAGUACGUACGCAAGUAUGAAACUUAAAGGAAUUGGCGGGGGAGCACACAAGGGUGAAGCCUGCGGUUCAAUUGGAUUCAACGCCGGA
rnacentral:rRNA from 1 species